GUUGAGAAUCUGGUAGGAUUUGGGAACGUUCUUGCAUUGGAGAAGGCGGCAAACUGCGUUCUUCGGUUUGAAUCCGGAGCCGUUGUGGGAGAAAGAACUUAAGGAUUCCGGUGUGAGUGUUGGAGAAGUAGCGUCAUGGGUGCCAUCCAGGAUCAGGAGAUUGUCGCACCUAUGGUGGUUCAUUACGCGGAGAAAAUUAUGUUUCCUUCCAAGCGGUUCAAGAAGAUCUGUGUCUUCUGCGGUAGUAGCAGUGGCAAGAAGGGCGUGUUCAGUAACGAGGCUCUCAACCUUGGCCGCGAACUGGUGAAUCGAAAGAUUGAUUUGGUUUAUGGCGGAGGUAGUAUUGGACUGAUGGGCCAAGUCGCACAGACUGUAAAAGCCGGUGGUGGUCAAGUGUGUGGUGUUAUUCCCAAAGCAUUGAUUGGAAAAGAGCUUACGGGAAAUACUGUGGGAGAACUUAUAGCGGUUCCGGAUAUGCAUUCAAGGAAAGCCGAGAUGGCCCGUCAAGCGGAUGCUUUCAUUGCCCUUCCAGGUGGUUAUGGGACUUUGGAAGAGCUCGUCGAGGUUAUAACAUGGAACCAGUUGGGCAUUCACAGGAAGCCGGUGGGACUCCUCAACGUGGACGGCUUCUAUGACACACUGCUUACUUUUUUCGACAAGCAAAUGGAGGAGGAGUUCUUUGACAGUUCAUCUAGAAGCAUCGUUGUAUCUGCACCAACUGCAAGUGAGUUACUCGAUAAAUUAGAAGCUUACACUCCGAUUUUGGCAAAAGGACCAAAACUAUGCUGGGAGGUUGAGCGCCCGUGCAAAUUGGGUCACACCACCACCCCCAUUGCAGGUGUGGGUCAGUGAGCUCCAGAUGCUGUCGGCAUUGACGUUCGAUGGUACGGGAUGAGUUGCUAAAUGUACAUAUUGAGGAAUCAUUUCUAACUGAGUGCAUUUCAUUUUUAGUCCUAAAGCCUGACCAAUUUUGACAUACCACGCACGGGCCGUACGAACAUCACCGUCUGCCUGUUAUUAGUCCACCAAGUCUUGAUCUACAAGUACUGACAGUGGAGCUUGCUCUGCCCAGCCCCCGCAACGGUUAGUGUGGAAAGGGUUGUCUGCUGUUAACCACCGGGAUUCAUCCCACGACAAUGACGGCUGUCAGUUUUGUGCAGCUAGCUACAAUCCACAUGAAUGUUUCAUUACAUAGCAUUUUUUCUUUUUUUGUACUCCAGUAUAUAGCCCCAUGGCAUGGGUGUAAAUUUCAAUCAACACUUGUAUUUGAGUAAAAUCCGCAUAUCUUUUACCUGUACACAAAA